rnacentral:tRNA from 1 species
GUUUCUGUGAUGUAGUAGUUAUCACAUCCGCCUAACACGCGGAAGAUUCCCGGUUCGAUCCCGAGCAGAAAUA